GCUGGUUUUGCUCAGUGGGUAGAGCGUCAGCCUGCAGACUGAAGGAUGCUGGGUUCAAUUCCAGUCAAGGGCA
rfam:Myotis brandtii contig246375, whole genome shotgun sequence.